rnacentral:lncRNA from 1 species
CUCACCCAUGAGUCUCCAUCUGCGAGAAAGACACAGGGCGGCGGUGGGAAACACAAAGAGGACAGGAAAGACCUGCGCCGGAAAGGGAUGGAAGAGCAGGCUCCGAGCCUGAUGCACAGGACAACGGCUGCAUUUCAACAAGGAAGGACACCUCCUGCUCCAUUCUCCACUCCUCCUCCUGCAGGGGCAGGGAUCCCACUUCCACCAGCGCCCAGGUCCUCCUCGCCACCCUGGUGUGAUGCCAGCACCCUCUAUGGGGGGUCCUCCUAUGGUGCCAGUGACAGGCCCACCUCCUCCUGAGGGUGAUGCCAUGGGACCUGCUCCUGGAAUGAGGCCACCCAUGGGAUGUCACAUGCCAGUGUUACCCAGGCCCCCAGGAUGAGCCCGCCCACCCAUCGCAUGGUGGAGCCCACGCAGCCCAGAAUAACUAAGCCAGACA